CAUUUAAAGAGUGCGUAAUAGCUCACUAGUCGAGUGACACUGCGCCGAAAAUGUACCGGGGCUAAACAUAUUACCGAAGCUGUGGAUUGUCCUUUGGACAAUGGUAGGAGAGCGUUCUAAGGGCGUUGAAGCAUGAUCGUAAGGACAUGUGGAGCGCUUAGAAGUGAGAAUGCCGGUGUGAGUAGCGAAAGACGGGUGAGAAUCCCGUCCACCGAUUGACUAAGGUUUCCAGAGGAAGGCUCGUCCGCUCUGGGUUAGUCGGGUCCUAAGCUGAGGCCGACAGGCGUAGGCGAUGGAUAACAGGUUGAUAUUCCUGUACCACCUAUAAUCGUUUUAAUCGAUGGGGGGACGCAGUAGGAUAGGCGAAGCGUGCGAUUGGAUUGCACGUCUAAGCAGUAAGGCUGAGUAUUAGGCAAAUCCGGUACUCGUUAAGGCUGAGCUGUGAUGGGGAGAAGACAUUGUGUCUUCGAGUCGUUGAUUUCACACUGCCGAGAAAAGCCUCUAGAUAGAAAAUAGGUGCCCGUACCGCAAACCGACACAGGUAGUCAAGAUGAGAAUUCUAAGGUGAGCGAGCGAACUCUCGUUAAGGAACUCGGCAAAAUGACCCCGUAACUUCGGGAGAAGGGGUGCUCUUUAGGGUUAACGCCCAGAAGAGCCGCAGUGAAUAGGCCCAAGCGACUGUUUAUCAAAAACACAGGUCUCUGCUAAACCGUAAGGUGAUGUAUAGGGGCUGACGCCUGCCCGGUGCUGGAAGGUUAAGAGGAGUGGUUAGCUUCUGCGAAGCUACGAAUCGAAGCCCCAGUAAACGGCGGCCGUAACUAUAACGGUCCUAAGGUAGCGAAAUUCCUUGUCGGGUAAGUUCCGACCCGCACGAAAGGCGUAACGAUUUGGGCACUGUCUCAACGAGAGACUCGGUGAAAUCAUAGUACCUGUGAAGAUGCAGGUUACCCGCGACAGGACGGAAAGACCCCGUGGAGCUUUACUGUAGCCUGAUAUUGAAAUUCGGCACAGCUUGUACAGGAUAGGUAGGAGCCUUUGAAACGUGAGCGCUAGCUUACGUGGAGGCGCUGGUGGGAUACUACCCUAGCUGUGUUGGCUUUCUAACCCGCACCACUUAUCGUGGUGGGAGACAGUGUCAGGCGGGCAGUUUGACUGGGGCGGUCGCCUCCUAAAAGGUAACGGAGGCGCUCAAAGGUUCCCUCAGAAUGGUUGGAAAUCAUUCAUAGAGUGUAAAGGCAUAAGGGAGCUUGACUGCGAGACCUACAAGUCGAGCAGGGUCGAAAGACGGACUUAGUGAUCCGGUGGUUCCGCAUGGAAGGGCCAUCGCUCAACGGAUAAAAGCUACCCCGGGGAUAACAGGCUUAUCUCCCCCAAGAGUUCACAUCGACGGGGAGGUUUGGCACCUCGAUGUCGGCUCAUCGCAUCCUGGGGCUGUAGUCGGUCCCAAGGGUUGGGCUGUUCGCCCAUUAAAGCGGUACGCGAGCUGGGUUCAGAACGUCGUGAGACAGUUCGGUCCCUAUCCGUCGUGGGCGUAGGAAAUUUGAGAGGAGCUGUCCUUAGUACGAGAGGACCGGGAUGGACAUACCUCUGGUGUACCAGUUGUCGUGCCAACGGCAUAGCUGGGUAGCUAUGUGUGGACGGGAUAAGUGCUGAAAGCAUCUAAGCAUGAAGCCCCCCUCAAGAUGAGAUUUCCCAACUUCGGUUAUAAGAUCCCUCAAAGAUGAUGAGGUUAAUAGGUUCGAGGUGGAAGCAUGGUGACAUGUGGAGCUGACGAAUACUAAUCGAUCGAAGACUUAAUCAA
rnacentral:rRNA from 1 species